rnacentral:rRNA from 1 species
UACGUAGGGUGCAAGCGUUGUCCGGAAUUAUUGGGCGUAAAGAGCUCGUAGGCGGUUCGUCGCGUCGGCUGUGAAAACCCGGAGCUCAACUCCGGGCCUGCAGUCGAUACGGGCGGACUUGAGUGUUGCAGGGGAGACUGGAAUUCCUGGUGUAGCGGUGAAAUGCGCAGAUAUCAGGAGGAACACCAGUGGCGAAGGCGGUUCUCUGGGCAUUACCUGACGCUGAGGAGCGAAAGUGUGGGGAGCGAACAGG